CGGCAUUGUUCUAAGUUAUAAAUAACUUUAUAUUGUGAAACUGCGAAUGGCUCAUUAAAUCAGUUAUGAUCUACGUGACAAAUUCUUUACUACUUGGAUAACCGUGGUAAUUCUAGAGCUAAUACAUGCAAAAAAGCCCUGACUUACGAAGGGGUGCACUUAUUAGAUAAAACCAACGCGGGGUAAAACCUGUUUCUUGGUGAAUCAUAAUAAUUAAGCGGAUCGCAUGGCCUUGUGCCGGCGACGGUCCACUCGAUUUUCUGCCCUAUCAUGGUUGAGAUUGUAAGAUAGAGGCUUACAAUGCCUACAACGGGUAACGGGGAAUUAGGGUUCGAUUCCGGAGAGGGAGCCUGAGAAACGGCUACCACAUCCAAGGAAGGCAGCAGGCGCGCAAAUUACCCAAUCCCGACACGGGGAGGUAGUGACAAUACAUAACAAUGCAGGGCCUUUAAGGUCUUGCAAUUGGAAUGAGUACAAUUUAAAUCCCUUAACGAGGAUCAAUUGGAGGGCAAGUCUGGUGCCAGCAGCCGCGGUAAUUCCAGCUCCAAUAGCGUAUAUUAAAGUUGUUGCAGUUAAAACGUCCGUAGUCAAACUUUAGUCUUACCGGCGUAGUGGCCUGGUCUUCAUUGACCAAGCUCAUUGCUGCCGGAGACUCCAUGUCCAUUGACUCCUAGUCCUCGUGGCUAGGGUUUUCUGGACAAUUACCAUGAGCAAAUCAGAGUGUUUAAAGCAGGCUUUUAAGCUUGAAUGUGUUAGCAUGGAAUAAUGAAAUAUGACUUUAGUCCUAUUUUCGUUGGUUUAGGUACUUCAGUAAUGAUGAAUAGAAACGGUUAGGGGCAUUUGUAUUUGGUCGCUAGAGGUGAAAUUCUUGGAUUGACCGAAGACAAACUACUGCGAAAGCAUUUGACCCGGGACGUUUUCAUUGAUCAAGGUCUAAAGUUAAGGGAUCGAAGACGAUUAGAUACCGUCGUAGUCUUAACCACAAACUAUGCCGACUAGAGAUUGGGCGUGUUUAUUAUGACUCGCUCAGCAUCUUAGCGAAAGUAAAGUUUUUGGGUUCUGGGGGGAGUAUGGGACGCAAGGCUGAAACUUAAAGGAAUUGACGGAAGGGCACCACCAGGAGUGGAGCCUGCGGCUUAAUUUGACUCAACACGGGGAAACUCACCAGGUCCAGACAUAGUAAGGAUUGACAGAUUGAAAGCUCUUUCUAGAUUCUAUGGGUGGUGGUGCAUGGCCGUUCUUAGUUCGUGGAGUGAUUUGUCUGGUUAAUUCCGAUAACGAACGAGACCUUAUUCUGCUAAUUAGACAGGCUAACUCUUUCGGGUUGGUUUAUAUUUAAUAUUUAACUGGCUUCAUUAGAGAGACUAUCGGCUACUACAAUAGG
rnacentral:rRNA from 1 species